GCUUGCUGGGGGGAUUAGUGGCGAACGGGUGAGUAACACGUGAGUAACCUGCCCUUGACUCUGGGAUAAGCCUGGGAAACUGGGUCUAAUACUGGAUACGACCAUUCCACGCAUGUGGUGGUGGUGGAAAGCUUUUGUGGUUUUGGAUGGACUCGCGGCCUAUCAGCUUGUUGGUGGGGUAAUGGCCUACCAAGGCGACGACGGGUAGCCGGCCUGAGAGGGUGGACGGCCACACUGGGACUGAGACACGGCCCAGACUCCUACGGGAGGCAGCAGUGGGGAAUAUUGCACAAUGGGCGCAAGCCUGAUGCAGCGACGCCGCGUGAGGGAUGAAGGCCUUCGGGUUGUAAACCUCUUUCAGUAGGGAAGAAGCGUAAGUGACGGUACCUGCAGAAGAAGCGCCGGCUAACUACGUGCCAGCAGCCGCGGUAAUACGUAGGGCGCAAGCGUUAUCCGGAAUUAUUGGGCGUAAAGAGCUCGUAGGCGGUUUGUCGCGUCUGCCGUGAAAGUCCGGGGCUUAACUCCGGAUCUGCGGUGGGUACGGGCAGACUUGAGUGAUGUAGGGGAGACUGGAAUUCCUGGUGUAGCGGUGAAAUGCGCAGAUAUCAGGAGGAACACCGAUGGCGAAGGCAGGUCUCUGGGCAUUAACUGACGCUGAGGAGCGAAAGCAUGGGGAGCGAACAGGAUUAGAUACCCUGGUAGUCCAUGCCGUAAACGUUGGGCACUAGGUGUGGGGGACAUUCCACGUUUUCCGCGCCGUAGCUAACGCAUUAAGUGCCCCGCCUGGGGAGUACGGCCGCAAGGCUAAAACUCA
rnacentral:rRNA from 1 species